rnacentral:rRNA from 1 species
GACGAACGCUGGCGGCGUGCUUAACACAUGCAAGUCGAACGGUAAGGCCCUUCGGGGUACACGAGUGGCGAACGGGUGAGUAACACGUGGGUGAUCAGCCCUGCACUUCGGGAUAAGCCUGGGAAACUGGGUCUAAUACCGGAUAGGACCACUGCCUGCAUGGGUGGUGGUGGAAAGCUUUUGCGGUGUGGGAUGGGCCCGCGGCCUAUCAGCUUGUUGGUGGGGUGAUGGCCUACCAAGGCGACGACGGGUAGCCGGCCUGAGAGGGUGACCGGCCACACUGGGACUGAGAUACGGCCCAGACUCCUACGGGAGGCAGCAGUGGGGAAUAUUGCACAAUGGGCGCAAGCCUGAUGCAGCGACGCCGCGUGAGGGAUGACGGCCUUCGGGUUGUAAACCCCUUUCAGCACCGACGAAGCGCAAGUGACGGUAGGUGCAGAAGAAGGACCGGCCAACUACGUGCCAGCCGCCGCGGUAA